rnacentral:rRNA from 1 species
AUUAUACCGAAUCGUACCCCAAACCGACACAGGUGGUCAGGUAGAGAAUACUAAGGCGCUUGAGAGAACUCGGGUGAAGGAACUAGGCAAAAUCGUACCGUAACUUCGGGAGAAGGUACGCUCCGAUUGGUGAUGAGACUUGCUCUCUAAGCUGAUUGGAGCCGCAGUGACCAGGUGGCUGGGACUGUUUAUUAAAAACACAGCACUGUGCAAAAUCGCAAGAUGACGUAUACGGUGUGACACCUGCCCGGUGCCGGAAGGUUAAUUGAUGGGGUUAUCUUCGGAGAAGCUCUUGAUCGAAGCCCCGGUAAACGGCGGCCGUAACUAUAACGGUCCUAAGGUAGCGAAAUUCCUUGUCGGGUAAGUUCCGACCUGCACGAAUGGUGUAACCAUGGCCACGCUGUCUCCACCCGAGACUCAGUGAAAUUGAAAUCGCAGUGAAGAUGCUGUGUACCCGCGGCUAGACGGAAAGACCCCGUGAACCUUUACUACAGCUUGGCACUGAACAUUGAACCUACAUGUGUAGGAUAGGUGGGAGACUUAGAAGCAGAGACGCUAGUUUUUGUGGAGUCGUCCUUGAAAUACCACCCUUGUAGUUUUGAUGUUCUAACGUUGGCCCCUGAAUCGGGGUUACGGACAGUGCCUGGUGGGUAGUUUGACUGGGGCGGUCUCCUCCCAAAGAGUAACGGAGGAGCACGAAGGUGGGCUAAACACGGUUGGACAUCGUGUGGUUAGUGCAAUGGCAUAAGCCCGCUUGACUGCGAGAAUGACAAUUCGAGCAGGUGCGAAAGCAGGUCAUAGUGAUCCGGUGGUUCUGAAUGGAAGGGCCAUCGCUCAACGGAUAAAAGGUACUCCGGGGAUAACAGGCUGAUACCGCCCAAGAGUUCAUAUCGACGGCGGUGUUUGGCACCUCGAUGUCGGCUCAUCACAUCCUGGGGCUGAAGUCGGUCCCAAGGGUAUGGCUGUUCGCCAUUUAAAGUGGUACGCGAGCUGGGUUUAGAACGUCGUGAGACAGUUCGGUCCCUAUCUGCCGUGGGCGUUUGAGAAUUGAGAGGGGUUGCUCCUAGUACGAGAGGACCGGAGUGAACGAACCGCUGGUGUUCGGGUUGUCAUGCCAAUGGCAUUGCCCGGUAGCUACGUUCGGAACUGAUAAGCGCUGAAAGCAUCUAAGCGCGAAGCAGGCCUCGAGAUGAGUUCUCACUAGACUUUUAAAGUCUCUGAAGGGCCGUUGAAGACUACAACGUUGAUAGGCAAGAUGUGGAAGUGGUGUGAGCCAUUAAGCUAACUUGUACUAAUUACCCGUGAGGCUUAACCAU